rnacentral:rRNA from 1 species
UACGUAGGGGGCAAGCGUUGUCCGGAUUUAUUGGGCGUAAAGGGCGCGUAGGCGGCAUGGCAAGUGGAAGGUGAAAUCCCUCGGCUUAACCGAGGAACUGCCCUCCAAACUGCUUUGCUUGAGGCCGGGAGAGGUGAGUGGAAUUCCCAGUGUAGCGGUGAAAUGCGUAGAUAUUGGGAGGAACGCCAAAGGUGAAAGCAGCCAGCUGGGAGUGUGCUGACGCUGAGACACGAAAGCGAGGGGAGCGAACGGG